rnacentral:lncRNA from 1 species
AAUCCUAGACAAAGUGAUCUGCAUUUUACCUUUCUUCUUUAAUUUUGGCCCACACAAGCAAAGCCUACAUCUCUCACAGGACAGCACUCCAGAUUUCUUUAACUACCUAUCAUCUCAGAGUGAAUAUUUCUACAUUGUUCUUUGCAUCACCAGCCACUACUAUGGAGGAUGUAUUUUGUAGGCUGAGACCAGGUUAUGUGCUGUGCUCCAUGUACAAGAAACGAUAGGAAAUGAAUCAGAGUUCCUGUUGCUCCAGAUUCUCAAGAACAUAUGAUGUCAUCAGUGUUUUAGGUUUUGGUCAUUACAACAGAUCCAAGGCUGAAUUCUGCAGUUUUUGGCUUCAUUCCAACUUGAAUUUAUAUAGAAUAUUUUCAAUCUGUGGUUGGUUGAAUCCACAGAUGCAAAACCCACAGACGUGAGGGCUGAUUCUACGUGCAAACUGGCCACAAAAGUCCUGGCUGUCUUCAAAGCUGCAUCCUAACGAGGGCAGAGUACCUGGUACAAUGAAUCUGAUUGUAAUUUACAAGAAAAUCACCUCUACUGCCUACAAUAUGUUACCUCAUUUGUUUCCCAGUUCCUAAUUUGUACCCUUAGAUUCUUAGACCAUAAAGUAUUUCCUGAAGGAAUAGAGGGCUCCAAGUGGGAUGAUUUGAGUAGUUCAUUUUGGUGGCUUUUGUUAUGGAAAUAUGUGAGGAUGGUUGAACUUUAGUACUGAUUUUUCAUUCACAUGACAAGAAUGCCUACAUAAAUCAUGUUGCUCUCCCAUUUAAGUAAUUACUAGGUUUGAAGCCAGUUAAAACAAAUGAUAGAAGAUAUUUUAGGUUAAACAACAUGGUUUUGCUUUCAUUGACAUCAACCAUAAUAGGCCUAAAAAUAUAAGUGCAGAAAAGCAUGUUAGUAUCUUUUAUUUCUUUCAAGUAUAUUCAUUUAGUUGACUUUUUCAAAUAUAUUUUAGCUUAUUUUGCCUUCUGAUAAGAAUAGGACAAUUGAAGAAAAGGUUUUCUCACUUCCUUAACAUUAUGAAAGAAUUUUAUUUUGGAAUUGCCUGAGAGGUAAAUGGAAAAUAUGCUCAGUUGGCCCAAAUUCUUUAUUAAACAACAUUAUAAGUGAAAAUCUGUUUUCCCUGCUAUUAUCUGAGUGCUAUGCUUAAAGAAACAAAUAAACAUCCUGACAGUUGACAGACAGGAAAUAUGUUUUGUUUCCUUUUUUAUUCCGGCUUCAUUAUUUUCCAUGGAGAUGGAUUCUUGAAGCGACAGGCUGUGUUCAUUUCAGUUCAACUGUUCAUUGACUUAUGCAACAUAUCAAAUUCCUUACCAAAGUGAAAAAAAAAAAAAGCAGAAUGAAAUUUAGCUAUGAUUCAACCAGAGAAAUUUACAUGUUGGGCAAGGAUUCUUGUUAUUUAAAGAUAAAGGCAUUUUUGAAAGUCCACUGAAAAAUGGCUAAAAUUUUUCUAAUUCUGGUUUGGUGAUAUAUCCUAUUAAUCUGCCACCACUUAUUAAUGGCACUCAUAAUUUAAAGCCCUCUAACACUGGCACCUCACAUCUCAUUAAGGUAUCUCCUCCCAUUCUUCCUGCAAACAUGACAUUUAGGAGACCAUUAUAUGACUU